CUUUAAAUAUAUUACUUUUUUUGAGCAUAGCUAUAUUAAUUUAAAUAAAACAAAAAAUGUUCAUAAGACAGUUAAUUAAUGAGAGAGCAUCAUCUCUAAUCACAAAUACACAAACAACUACAAAACAAAAAGUCCUGCAGUUAAAUGCAGACAAAUGUAAAACAUUUCAUCGACAACAAAGUUUCCCUUCUCUCUUAAAAAAAGGAAUGAAAGUGGAGCCAACAUCUGUUUUUAGAAAGGCACAGGGCUGAUCUAAACGAGUGCUCACCUGCACUCUGGUGCUGGUAGAUUACAUUAUAUUUGAUUUGUCAAACAAGGCACAGUGAAGAUCUAAAUGUCAGGUCAUGGUCGCUGCAGCGUCAAACCAGCAGAUCAUAUGUGGUUAAUGAAAGCCUUUUAUCUUCACAGUAUCAACUU